GAGUGGUCCAGUGGUCAGAAACAUAGACUCGUGAGCCUAUAGCGGAGGUUCGAUCCCUCCUGUCGU
rnacentral:tRNA from 16 species